GAAUUUUCGGCAAUGGGCGCAAGCCUGACGGAGCAACGCCGCGUGCAGGAUGACGGCUUUCGGGUUGUAAACUGCUUUCGGGUGGAACGAUAAUGACGGUACCACCAAAAUCAGGUCCGGCUAACUACGUGCCAGCAGCCGCGGUAAUACGUAGGGACCAAGCGUUGUCCGGACUUACUGGGCGUAAAGCGCGUGCAGGCGGACGAGGAUGUGCCGUGUGAAAGCGCCGGGUUCAACCCGGCGAGGCCACGGUAGACACUUCGUCUUGAGGCUCCGAGAGGAUGGUAGAAUUCCCGGUGUAGUGGUGAAAUGCGUAGAUAUCGGGAGGAAUACCGAUGGCGAAGGCAGCCAUCUGGCGGAGACCUGACGCUGAGACGCGACGGCGUGGGGAGCAAAC
rnacentral:rRNA from 1 species